rnacentral:rRNA from 1 species
GACGAACGCUGGCGGCGUGCCUAAUACAUGCAAGUAGAACGCUGAAGGAGGAGCUUGCUCUUCUGGAUGAGUUGCGAACGGGUGAGUAACGCGUAGGUAACCUGCCUGGUAGCGGGGGAUAACUAUUGGAAACGAUAGCUAAUACCGCAUAAUAGUAGAUGUUGCAUGACAUUUGCUUAAAAGGUGCAAUUGCAUCACUACCAGAUGGACCUGCGUUGUAUUAGCUAGUUGGUGGGGUAACGGCUCACCAAGGCGACGAUACAUAGCCGACCUGAGAGGGUGAUCGGCCACACUGGGACUGAGACACGGCCCAGACUCCUACGGGAGGCAGCAGUAGGGAAUCUUCGGCAAUGGACGGAAGUCUGACCGAGCAACGCCGCGUGAGUGAAGAAGGUUUUCGGAUCGUAAAGCUCUGUUGUAAGAGAAGAACAAGUGUGAGAGUGGAAAGUUCACACU